rnacentral:rRNA from 1 species
UGGGGAAUUUUGGACAAUGGGCGCAAGCCUGAUCCAGCCAUUCCGCGUGCAGGACGAAGGCCUUCGGGUUGUAAACUGCUUUUGUACGGAACGAAAGGGCUCUCUCUAAUACAGGGGGCAUAUGACGGUACCGUAAGAAUAAGCACCGGCUAACUACGUGCCAGCAGCCGCGGUAAUACGUAGGGUGCAAGCGUUAAUCGGAAUUACUGGGCGUAAAGCGUGCGCAGGCGGUUUUGUAAGACAGAGGUGAAAUCCCCGGGCUCAACCUGGGAACGGCCUUUGUGACUGCAAAGCUGGAGUGCGGCAGAGGGGGAUGGAAUUCCGCGUGUAGCAGUGAAAUGCGUAGAUAUGCGGAGGAACACCGAUGGCGAAGGCAAUCCCCUGGGCCUGCACUGACGCUCAUGCACGAAAGCGUGGGGAGCAAACAGG